UCCGUCGUAAGGCGGAAUCUGAAGGAAGCCGCAGGCAAAAUGCUGGCCUGACGAACAGGAAGCGGAUAUCAGGCGGUGUGGCGGGGUGAGCAGUCCAAGAUCUGUAAAGCCCAAUACUUGCACGGAACGCCACGACGUAGAUCCGACAGGCAUAAGCAGGAAGGUCGCGCGC
rnacentral:ncRNA from 1 species